rnacentral:RNase_P_RNA from 1 species
GUGGGUGGAAGCUCAUCAUAGAGGUCACAUGCAGGGUGCUAAUCACUCAACCAAUCACCCUUGGACAAGAGCCAAUCACUGCCCUAGUAGGACUUCACUUGAUCUGGGUGAGUGAGUACACAUAGGAUAUUGGCCAUUGUGAGCGCUCUUCACAGGAGAUUACCAGUCAGUUAGACUCUAGUGAUUGUGACCUACCUUGCUUGUAAACACUCAUGGUUGGCAUAUGAGUGCAAUGUGUGAUUUGGAUUAUACCUCCAGAACCCAAUUCAGACUACUCUCUGUCCAGU